UACGAAGGGGGCAAGCGUUGUUCGGAAUUACUGGGCGUAAAGGGCGCGUAGGCGGCCUGCUAAGUCGGACGUGAAAUCCCUCGGCUCAACCGGGGAACUGCGUCCGAUACUGGUGGGCUCGAAUCCGGGAGAGGGGUGUGGAAUUCCAGGUGUAGCGGUGAAAUGCGUAGAUAUCUGGAGGAACACCGGUGGCGAAGGCGGCAUCCUGGACCGGCAUUGACGCUGAGGCGCGAAAGCCAGGGGAGCAAACGGG
rnacentral:rRNA from 1 species